AGCUCAGGCCGGCGUGGAGGAGGACGGAGGGCAGCUGCCGUGGCCUGGAACCCGGAAGACCUGAGCGGAUGCCCUGCCUGGGGUCUCCCCCGGGCCUGCUGGACUUCCCAGGUGACCUUGAGCAGGGGACUGACUGAAUGCCUCUACCCUCAGAACCACACUGAGGAGAGCCAUGCAGCUCCUCUAGAAUGAGGUCACCACGGGCAGACCCCAUGUGCUCUGCAGGUGGGCUUCGGAAAUCUUCCAAUGAGUUGCUACAUUAAGAAAUCAGGAACUGUCACUUAA